AGGUGGUGUGGUGGCCUCAUAGGGCUUGGCUGUGACUUAGAAGGAAAGGCAGGGUUGAGCAAGUAGGGAGGGGCAGAUACUAGGAGAGUAGGUAAGGGAGGGGGCACUUUAGAGGGGCUACUAAGAAGUCCCUCUGCUUGGCCAAGUGCUCAAGCAUCCUCUGACUUCCAAUCCAAGCCUUUCCUUCUCUCUAGCCUUUCCUCAAUGAGCAGCCUUGGUGGAGACAAAGUCACAGUCACUCACCUUGAAGUGAAUUAAAGAGCUGCCAGUCCAUGUGUCUCAAAAUAACAUGAGUUAAACAUCUUAAACAUAUUCAUCAUGUGGCAACAUCAACUCAGAAAGCAGUACAUCUUGGAGGCUGUCACAAACCCAGGGAUUUUUAUCUCAAUAGUGAAUGACUACAGGAUCCCUGGGGCUGAUACUUAUUGCCUCAUCUUCUAUUCCAAUGAACCCAUCCAUCCCCUACCUGUUUUCCCAAAUCUUCACUCCAUUGACAGUCUCUUCCAUUCUACACUUUCAUGGAAGCUCUGCCCUUAACAUCCUAGAGCCCUUCAAGCCUGGUGUGGGCUGUGCUCUCACAAAGGAGUUCAGGCAACAGGGCAGUCCACUUUUUCCUCCCAUCAUCCUGACCCCCAAUGCAUUUCAUCCUUCUUCCUUCUGUACUUGAGGCCAGUCCUUCACCUGUACCCUUCCUAGCUUUUCUCCCCCUGAAAUUUUGCUCCAUUAACCAUGCUUCCUCAAUAGAUUUGACAUCUUUUUGAAUGUUCCCAUCCUCAGCUUGUAAACUUGGCCAGUUUUUCUUAUGACUCCCACCAAAACCUCCCUCGAACCUCUCCCUAAGGUUACUGACAUUUUUACUCGCAAACUUGAUCUUCACUUCUCAGCUUCUGCUCACGUCUUCAUUCUAUAGUAUCUUGGUAUAAUAAAGCUCUCAAUCCCUCAUAACUUCA
rnacentral:lncRNA from 1 species